rnacentral:rRNA from 1 species
UGGCUCCUACGGGGGGCAGCAGUGGGGGAUAUUGCACAAUGGAGGGAACCCUGAUGCAGCGACGCCGCGUGGGUGAAGGAGCGUUUCGGCGCGUAAAGCCCUAUCGGCAGGGAAGAAGGAGGACGGUACCUGACUAAGAAGCCCCGGCUAACUACGUGCCAGCAGCCGCGGUAAUACGUAGGGGGCAAGCGUUAUCCGGAUUUACUGGGGGUAAAGGGGGCGCAGACGCCAGCGCAAGCCAGGAGUGAAAGCCCGGGGCCCAACCCCCGGACUGCUCUUGGAACUGCGCGGCUGGAGUGCAGCAG